rnacentral:lncRNA from 1 species
AUGCAUAGCACAACAGGUUGAAAAAUACAUACGCAUAAGCUGCUUUUCAACAGAGCAGAUUAACCGGUGACUACAACUUUCUAAGAAUAGACUAAACGAGGAAGCUGAUCUUUUCUUCUACAUGUCUCUCUUUAUUCAUCACAUAAAUAAAAACACAGAGCUCCACUAAUGCAGUAGCUUGAUCCCUUAAUUUCCUAAUUCCUUGCAAAAGCUCCUGCACCCAUCCUUUUCCUUAUUACAUGCAUGACACUCUUCCCUUUAAUUACCUGUCAAAACACACAUAAAUUGGAUCUCUGUCAAUAUAUAUACUGGUGCAUAUUAUUGGCAAUAUUUACUAAUAUUUAUUUUAUGUGGGAAGAAAGUAAAUAAUUUAAUGCAGUGCUGCACCAACAUAGUUAGGCCUGAUGACAUUAUAUUUUCAGAUUUCUGUUAAUUAAGAUAUAUAUAUACUUAGCAUUGUCAAGAUAAUCGUUCGUGCAUAUAUAAUUGGCCUGGUUUACCUUGAAACCAUAUAUGAUAGCCGUAUUCUAGUAAUGGUGAGGUGGAGGGGGUGAUGCGUAAAUGUAAUGGGGUGGUGGUGGUGACUUGUGUACUGGUGGUGGUGGGGGAGGAGACUUGUAUUUAUAAACUGGGGUAGGAGGUGGGGGAGGAGACUUGUAUUUGUAUGGCUUCUUGGGAGGAGGUGGAGGAGGAGACUUGUAAACGGGAGGAGGUGGUGGGGGAGACUUGUACUUGUAUGGCUUCUCGGGAGGAGGAGGUGGUGACUUGUAAACUGGUGGUGGAGGAGGUGGAGACUUAUAAAUUGGAGGUGGUGGGGGAGACUUAUACUUGUACGGCUUCUUGGGUGGUGGGGGAGGUGACUUGUAAACUGGCGGAGGUGGAGGAGGAGACUUGUAUUUGUAAACUGGUGGAGGAGGUGGUGGAGACUUGUACUUGUAAGGAUGUGGUGGUGGUGGUGGAGAAUGAACCGGAGGAGGCGGUGGUGACUUGUACUUGUAGGGCUUUUUGGGUGGUGGUGGAGACUUAUGCACCGGUGGAGGGGGUGGGGGGGACUUGUACUUGUAAGGGUGUGGUGGUGGUGGUGGAGAAUGCACUGGAGGAGG